rnacentral:rRNA from 1 species
UACGGGGGGGGCAAGCGUUGUUCGGAAUUACUGGGCGUAAAGGGCUCGUAGGCGGCCAACUAAGUCCGACGUGAAAUCCCAAGGCUUAACCUUGGAACUGCGUCGGAUACUGGAUGGCUUGAAUUCGGGAGAGGGAUGCAGAAUUCCAGGUGUAGCGGUGAAAUGCGUAGAUAUACGGAGGAAUACCUGAGGCGAAGGCGGGUUGCUGGGCCAACACUGACGCUGAGGCGCGAAAGCCAGGGGAGCAAACGGG